AUUGAACGCUGGCGGCAUGCCUUACACAUGCAAGUCGAACGGUAACAGGUCUUCGGAUGCUGACGAGUGGCGAACGGGUGAGUAAUGCAUCGGAACGUGCCCAGUUGUGGGGGAUAACUGCUCGAAAGAGCAGCUAAUACCGCAUACGACCUGAGGGUGAAAGCGGGGGAUCGCAAGACCUCGCGCAAUUGGAGCGGCCGAUGUCAGAUUAGGUAGUUGGUGGGGUAAAGGCCUACCAAGCCGACGAUCUGUAGUUGGUCUGAGAGGACGACCAGCCACACUGGGACUGAGACACGGCCCAGACUCCUACGGGAGGCAGCAGUGGGGAAUUUUGGACAAUGGGCGCAAGCCUGAUCCAGCAAUGCCGCGUGCAGGAAGAAGGCCUUCGGGUUGUAAACGGCUUUUGUCAGUGAAGAAAUCCUCUGGGUUAAUACCCCGGGGGGAUGACGGUACCUGAAGAAUAAGCACCGGCUAACUACGUGCCAGCCGCCGCCGUAAGAC
rnacentral:rRNA from 1 species